rnacentral:rRNA from 1 species
AGUGAACGCUGGCGGUAGGCCUAACACAUGCAAGUCGAACGGCAGCACAGUAAGAGCUUGCUCUUACGGGUGGCGAGUGGCGGACGGGUGAGGAAUACAUCGGAAUCUACUUUUUCGUGGGGGAUAACGUAGGGAAACUUACGCUAAUACCGCAUACGACCUACGGGUGAAAGCAGGGGAUCUUCGGACCUUGCGCGAUUGAAUGAGCCGAUGUCGGAUUAGCUAGUUGGCGGGGUAAAGGCCCACCAAGGCGACGAUCCGUAGCUGGUCUGAGAGGAUGAUCAGCCAACAUGGAACUGAGAAACGGCCCAACCCCCUACGGGAGGCAGCAGUGGGGAAUUUUGGACAAUGGGCGCAAGCCUGACCCAGCCAAACCGCGGGGGUGAAGAAGGCCUUGGGGUUGUAAAGCCCUUUUGUUGGGAAAAAAAAGCAGCAGGUUAAAACCCCGCUGUUCUGCCGGUACCCAAAGAAAAAGCACCGGCUAACUUCGG